UGGGGAAUAUUGCACAAUGGGCGCAAGCCUGAUGCAGCCAUGCCGCGUGUGUGAAGAAGGCCUUCGGGUUGUAAAGCACUUUUGUCCGGAAAGAAAUCCUUGGCUCUAAUACAGUCGGGGGAUGACGGUACCGGAAGAAUAAGCACCGGCUAACUACGUGCCAGCAGCCGCGGUAAUACGUAGGGUGCAAGCGUUAAUCGGAAUUACUGGGCGUAAAGCGUGCGCAGGCGGUUUGCUAAGACCGAUGUGAAAUCCCCGGGCUCAACCUGGGAACUGCAUUGGUGACUGGCAGGCUAGAGUAUGGCAGAGGGGGGUAGAAUUCCACGUGUAGCAGGUGAAAUGCGUAGAGAUGUGGAGGAAUACCGAUGGCGAAGGCAGCCCCCUGGGCCAAUACUGACGCUCAUGCACGAAAGCGUGGGGAGCAAACAGGAUUAGAUACCCUGGUAGUCCACGCCCUAAACGAUGUCAACUAGUUGUUGGGAUUCAUUUCCUUAGUAACGUAGCUAACGCGUGAAGUUGACCGCCUGGGGAGUACGGUCGCAAGA
rnacentral:rRNA from 1 species